rnacentral:rRNA from 1 species
GAUGAACGCUCGCGGCAGGCUUAACACAUGCAAGUCGAGGGGUAUUUAUCUUCGGAUAGAGAGACCGGCGCACGGGUGCGUAACGCGUAUGCAAUCUACCUUUUACAGAGGGAUAGCCCAGAGAAAUUUGGAUUAAUACCUCAUAGUAUAUAGACUCGGCAUCGAGAUUAUAUUAAAGUCACAACGGUAAAAGAUGAGCAUGCGUCCCAUUAGCUAGUUGGUAAGGUAACGGCUUACCAAGGCUACGAUGGGUAGGGGUCCUGAGAGGGAGAUCCCCCACACUGGUACUGAGACACGGACCAGACUCCUACGGGAGGCAGCAGUGAGGAAUAUUGGACAAUGGGCGCAAGCCUGAUCCGGCCAUGCCGCGUGCAGGAUGACGGUCCUAUGGAUUGUAAACUGCUUUUAUACGAGAAGAAACACUGCUACGUGUAGCAGCUUGACGGUAUCGUAAGAAUAAGGAUCGGCUAACUCCGUG